ACGAAGGUGGCAAGCGUUACUCGGAAUUACUAGGCGUAAAGGGCAGGUAGGUGGUUCGAUAAGUCUGUCGUGAAAGCUCCCGGCUUAACCGGGAGAGGUCAACAGAAACUAUCGGGCUUGAGUAUAGGAGAGGGUACUGGAAUUCCCGGUGUAGCGGUGAAAUGCGCAGAGAUUGGGAGGAACACCAAUGGCGAAAGCAGGUACCUGGACUAUUACUGACACUCAGCUGCGAAAGCUAGGGGAGCAAACAGGA
rnacentral:rRNA from 1 species